GAGGGUAUAGCUCAGUGGGAGAGCACAUGCUUAGCAUGCAUGAGGUCCUGGGUUCAAUCCCCGGCACUUUCA
rnacentral:tRNA from 1 species